UUUGUGAAGUGCCUAGAAUAGUCAAAAUUCACAGAGACAGAAGCAGUGGUCGCCAGGAAUGGGGAAGCAAGGCGGAGUUGGGCAGCUCGUGUUCAAUGGUUUUGUCCGCCUUCCCUGCCUCCUCUUCUGGGGGAGUUAGAUCGAGUUGUAACAAGAACAUGCCACUGUCUCGCUGGCUGCAGCGUGUGGUCCCCUUACCAGAGUGAGGAUGCGAAGAGAAGGUGGCUGUCUGCAAACCAGGA
rnacentral:lncRNA from 1 species